rnacentral:rRNA from 1 species
GACGAACGCUGGCGGCGUGCCUAAUACAUGCAAGUAGGACGCAGUUGCGAACGGGUGAGUAACGCGUAGGUAACUACCUAUUAGAGGGGGGUAACUAUUGGAAACGCUAGCUAAUACCGCAUACUCGUAGAUGGACCUGCGUUGUAUUAGCUAGUAGGUAGGGUAAUGGCCUACCUAGGCAACGAUACAUAGCCGAACUGAGAGGGUGAUCGGCCAAACUGGGACUGAGAAACGGCCCAAAAGCCUAAGGGAGGCAGCAGGAGGGAAUCUUCGGCAAUGGGGGGAAACCUGAACGAGCAACGCCGCGGGAGUGAAGAAGGUUUUCGGAACGUAAAGCUCUGUUGUUAAGGAAGCGGUACUUAACCAGAAAGGGACGGCUAACUACGUGCCAGCAGCCGCGGUAAUAC